rnacentral:rRNA from 1 species
UACGUAGGGUGCGAGCGUUAAUCGGAAUUACUGGGCGUAAAGCGUGCGCAGGCGGCUUUGCAAGACAGAUGUGAAAUCCCCGGGCUCAACCUGGGAACUGCAUUUGUGACUGCAAGGCUUGAAUCUGGCAGAGGGGGGUAGAAUUCCACGUGUAGCAGUGAAAUGCGUAGAUAUGCGGAGGAACACCAAUGGCGAAGGCAAUCCCCUGGGCCUGUACUGACGCUCAUGCACGAAAGCGUGGGGAGCAAACAGG